rnacentral:tRNA from 1 species
GGGCCUGUAGUCUAAUGGCAGGACGCCGCCCUCACAAUGUUGAGAAUGGCGGUAAUUCCGGUUCGAGUCCGGGCGGGCCCA